AUUGAACGCUGGCGGCAGGCCUAACACAUGCAAGUCGGGCGAGCGGCGGACGGGUGAGUAAUGUAUGGGGAUCUGCCUGAUGGCGGGGGAUAACUACUGGAAACGGUAGCUAAUACCGCAUACCAUCAGAUGUGCCCAGAUGGGAUUAGCUAGUCGGUGGGGUAAUGGCUCACCUAGGCGACGAACACUAGCUGGGCUGAGAGGAUGACCAGGCAUACUGGAAGUGAGACACGGUCCAGACUACUACGUGAGGCAGCAGUGGUGAAAAUUGCACAAUGGGCGCAAGCCUGAGGCAGCCAUGCCGCGUGUGUGAAGAGGGCCUUCGGGUUGUAAAGCACUUUGAGCGAGGAGGCGUUACUCGCAGAAGAAGCACCGGCUAACUCCGUGCCAGCAGCCGCGGUAAUAC
rnacentral:rRNA from 1 species